CCUACGGGAGGCAGCAGUGGGGAAUAUUGGGCAAUGGGCGAAAGCCUGACCCAGCAACGCCGCGUGAAGGAAGAAGGCUCUCGGGUUGUAAACUUCUUUUGACAGGGAAGAGCAGAAGACGGUACCUGUCGAUUAAGCCAUGGCUAACUACGUGCCAGCAGCCGCGGGAAUACGUAGGGGGCAAGUGUUGUCCGGAUUUACUGGGUGUUAAGGGCGUGUAGCCGGGCUGACAAGUCAGAUGUGAAAUCCGGGGGCUCAACCCCCGACCUGCAUUUGAAACUGUUGGUCUUGAGUAUCGGAGAGGCAGGCGGAAUUCCUAGUGUAGCGGUGAAAUGCGUAGAGAUUAGGAGGAACACCAGUGGCGAAGGCAGCCUGCUGGACGACAACUGACGGUGAGGCGCGAAAGCGUGGGGAGCAAACAGGAUUAGAUACCCGAGUAGUC
rnacentral:rRNA from 1 species